UACGUAGGGUCCAAGCGUUGUUCGGAUUUACUGGGCGUAAAGGGCGCGUAGGCGGCUUGACAAGUCACUUGUGAAAUCUCUGGGCUUAACCCAGAACGGCCAAGUGAUACUGUCGUGCUAGAGUGCAGAAGGGGCAAUCGGAAUUCUUGGUGUAGCGGUGAAAUGCGUAGAUAUCAAGAGGAACACCUGAGGUGAAGACGGGUUGCUGGGCUGACACUGACGCUGAGGCGCGAAAGCCAGGGGAGCAAACGGG
rnacentral:rRNA from 1 species